UAGCGUUGCAGCUCUUUUAGAAUUUGCUAGCAGGCUUUCCUGCUUCUUAUCAGAAACCUAC
rnacentral:snRNA from 1 species